AGGGUUCGAUUCUGGCUCAGGAUAAACGCUGGCGGCAUGCCUAAUACAUGCAAGUCAAACGGGUGUACUUGUACACCAGUGGCGAACGGGUGAGUAAUAUGUAGGUAACUUGCCCUCAAGACGAGGAUAACAGUUGGAAACGACUGAUAAUACUGGAUAGUAAACGAAACCGCAUGAUUUUGUUUUUAAAGUUCCCCCAAAGGAACACUUGAGGAGAGGCCUAUAUCGCAUUAGCUAGUUGGUGAGGUAACGGCCCACCAAGGCGACGAUGCGUAACUGUGCUGAGAGGCAAAACAGUCACAUUGGAACUUAGACACGGUCCAAACUCCUACGGGAGGCAGCAGUAGGGAAUUUUCGGCAAUGGGGGAAACCCUGACCGAGCAAUGCCGCGUGAAUGAUGAAAGAUCUUCGGAUUGUAAAAUUCUGUUGUUAGGAAUGAAUUACAUUACUAGGAAAUGAGUAGUGCUUGACAGUACCUGACUAGAAAGCCCCGGCUAACUAUGUGCCAGCCGCCGC
rnacentral:rRNA from 1 species